rnacentral:rRNA from 1 species
UACGGGGGGGGUAAGCGUUGUUCGGAAUUACUGGGCGUAAAGGGCUCGUAGGCGGCCAAGUAAGUCGGGCGUGAAAUCCCUAGGCUCAACCUAGGAACUGCACUCGAAACUGCAUGUCUUGAGUACCGGAGAGGAAAGCGGAAUACCUGGUGUAGAGGUGAAAUUCGUAGAUAUCAGGUGGAACACCAGUGGCGAAGGCGGCUUUCUGGACGGUAACUGACGCUGAGGCGCGAAAGCGUGGGGAGCAAACAGG